UGGCCUCAGCGUAGCACAAGUUUAAACGGGGAGUUGUUUGGAUUGAGCGUUGCUUCCUCCCUGCGCAAAAUCCCAAAUUGCUGGUUUACAGGAAGUCAGAAAAAAGCAAAGCUUCCAACGGCUUGCCUUAACUUCUUGGAAAGAGCCUAGGGGUACAAUAUUCUGUCUGACCCCGGUGGAUGGCUCUUUUUUGAGAAGAUGCCAAGUCCAGAGAAGCAGAGCAGCCAGGAGAAGGCAAAGGCUUGAGAAUCCUGCCCCUGCCCCAGUGCCUGGGCCAAGAGGCCAGGCUUCCCGGGAGCCGAGACAGCUUCAUCUCUGCCCAGCUCCCGGGUUCUUGCUGCAGCACCUGAUCUGGCAUCUGCCUCUGCAGGCACUGGUCUCACUGCUCCCACUCGGACCCACCUGUAAGCUACUGGCCAAUGAUGCUUGUGAUGAAGCAAUGACAUACCUAUUGCUUCACUGGCUGGGUGAUUCCUGAGUGACUUCCCGGUCCCCAGGGCAUUUAUCCCGGGACAGCGCAUGAUCAAAGGUGCCCUGCCCUCGUCCCUGCAGGUAGGAUGCACAGGACUUGUGUGACCCCAGAACUCCACGAGCUUUAUGGGCGUCUCAUUCACGCAUGCCUGAACAUCACUUACCGGUUUUGGUCUCAGUCUCCACUGGGAAUUGGAAGGUUCAGUGGUGGUGCAAGGAUACCCCAGGACCUUCUGAUACCUGAGAACUCAUCGCUUCCCCAUCACUGUCAAUUUCUGCUUAUCCAAGAGCUCUCUGCCCUCACUGGCUUCAUCUCAGACAGAGGAAGUGCUCUGGGGACCAGGACACGGGACUCAAGGUGAGGAGAGGGAUCCGAUGCCAUUUAGUUCAGAAAUAGCUGCCUGCCCUGUUCCGGAUGAUUCAUCGACCACAGCUGGCUUCCUGUCUCAUCCCUUCGCUCUUCCUGCUCUGGGGGGUGGGAACCAGGAUGCUGAGCAACAUAGGAGCCCUGUCAAUGCCACGGGCAGACCCUCUUGGCUGGUGUUUGUUUCCAGGGGUGAAUCGAGGGGACUAGCCUUCAGACUUGGCGUGAAACAAGGGCAGACUAUGGGUUUGGGGAGGAGCCACUACCCUCUUUAAAAGCUCCUAAGUGCAGGGCAGGCUGGGACCUGCAGGCAAGGGUCACAUUCACCGAGGACCCAGGAGACUCCCACUUGGGCAGACAGUGGUUCAAAAGUUCUUAUCUCUGAAGGAGACUCACGGACACAGACAACAAACUGUGGUUACCAGGGGAGGGGUGGGGAAGGGACAGAUUAGGAGUUUGGGACUAAUAGAUACACUGGUCCCAAGAUGUGAGUCUAUAUAUAUGUAAAAGAGAGAAACUACAAGUACCUACUGUAAAGCACAGGGAACUGUAUUCAAUUUUCUGCAAUGAUGGGGGGCGGAGCUUGAAAGAUGACAGAAUAGAGACCCACAAACACACCAAGAAUUACAUCUACAAACCCGUCGUAUCACACAGAACACCUACUGAACUCUGGCAGAGUUUCUCGUUUUGAAAUACAGGAGGAUUCCUCACAAAAUCCAGUAAACAACAAGUUCAUACAGUACAGUGCGGGGAACUGUAUUCAGUAUCUUGUAGUAACUUACGGUUGAAAAGAAUAUGAAAACGAAUAUAUGUAAGUUCCCAUGUGACUGAAGUGUUGUGCUGUACACCAGAAACUGACACAACAUUGUAAA